CUGCUUCAGUAAUGUCGAGGUCCAGGCUCUGGGGAGGCCAGUCCACAACUGAUAGUGUUUACUGUGUGAUUUUUCUACUGCAUGGUGGAUCUGGGAUCAUCUGACAGCACUUUUCUGUGAUCAUAAUUCCAUCAGUUUUCUGUCAUACCUCUCUCCUGACCUCCAGACAUCCCCCAAUAAGACCUGUUGCCACCACAUUUUCAGUCAGUUCAUGUGUAAUUUGCCAUAACUCCAACUUUUCUUCCUGUUUCCCUUCUUUAGGAAUGACAUGAUGAUUUCUGGCGAGGCUUCAGUGAACAGUAGACGGAUCAGCUGAAGAGCCAGAUGCAUCUCUCACAUCCUGCAGAGAACAUUGCAUCGCUACGUUUUUCUGUAAAGUGCAGGUGUACCCUGUGCAAUGUUCUUCUGGGGAACUUUGGGCCCUGUCUCUUUGACUGAGUGUGCAGUGUUUUGGUAAUCAUGCUCCCUGAUGACAGCAGCCUUGCCCAGCUGGACAGAGUUGACCCAGCUUCCAAACAUCUCAGAUGUCAAUGCAAAGCAUCAGUGGGAUGCUUUGGAACAAACCCAAUCCAUGGAGUCCCCACACCACAACGCCCCAAAGCUGGACACCACAGAACAACCCAACGGGUCAUGUGUACAUGGACACGCUGAGAGGGAAGUGAGGAAACUCUCCCCAGAAUGCAUGUCAGAGAUAUUAUAACAAAGAGAGGGAGGGAGAGAGCAUGAUGGCACCUAAAGAAUCCAACACUGGGAUCUCUGCUUUCAAUACGAUACUCCCGGACAGACUAAUAGAUAAACUGCUGGAAAUUGGACUUCCUUCCACCACCUGCCGCUGGAUCAGAG